ACAUGCUUAAAAGUGUAUUUUUACGGUACCUGGUACUCCAACACAAACUGUGUGUUGGAGUACCAGAUAGAUCUGGCCGUCCGUCAUGGAGGUUUAGUGUGUAAUUUAUUUUUCUGAAAGUGUCAUUUUUGCACUUUUACGGUCCAUCCCAAGAGAGGCGUUCCUCCAUCUUGAUAGCAGCGAUGCUCCUCUGUUCUGCAACACUUGGACAAAUUCCGCGUUCUCGCCCCCGCUGCGAUCUGCCGCCGCUCGCUUCUGCCCUUUUUUCUGCCUCGCGCCGCCUCCUCCGGCGUCCUAGUGAUUUUGCCCUUAUUGCCCGCCUUGCGCCGCCGCCCCCGGCGUCCUGGUCGAAGUUUCGUCCUUCGGCCGUCCGGAUCGAUCAUCUCCGCUUCAUCCCGAUCGAGGAUCUCCGAUGCGGGAAAGCUCCGUCUUGAUUGCCCUCCAGCCCCGUCCGGAUCGAUCAUCUCCGCUUCAUCCCGAUUGAGGAUCUCCGAUGCGGGAAAGCUUCGUCUUGAUUGCCCUCCUGCCGUGAGCUGUAAUUGUUCGCAAAGGUGAGAAUGAAACCAUUUCAUGAGACAUUGAGGAGUCCAAUGGGUGCAAGAAGAGAUCCAGGCGGCAGCGAAUGUGGCAGUCUCAACCACGAACAUUCGCAAAUGUCCUGAUCUGGGGAGAUGUUGAUCUGCAAGAUUAUAACAGAGGUCGUUCUAUCAUCUACAGAGCUGAACUAUGUAUCUCAAAAUUCAGUUUGGGUGCUGAAAUUCAGAUGGCACAUUUGAACUGUUUUUCCUUGGAAAAGGCGGCCAAAGCAACAAAAAAAAUCCUAGAAGAAGAUAGUCUUUAAACAAAAUCUUUAGCAUGUAUCAUGUAUAUUAGUUCGUUCAAUCAAGCUUAUGGACAAAGAUGAUAUAUACUGCAUGUUUCUUCAAACAUACACAAGGGAGAUUUUUAUAUGUCACGGCGAACUUGGUCCAUGCAUUCUUUUUGGUCAUGGAAUUAUAUGUACUGGACAAACCUGAAAUUUCUAUGACAAAAGGGCACAAAUAUAUUGAUUAGAAUAUAUUAUCACCGGUUAUUAAUACUUCAUACUUCAUAGAGUAGGUGAUUAAUAUUCAUACGACAUGAUCCAGAACAAUUUUGUUUCAAUACUUCUUACAGUGGUGAUUAAUAUUUUGGCAAAGUAUACUAUCACCUUGAACCAGAAUAGUUUUGAAUUGGAACACGAUAUUUUCCAAAAACAAAACAAGACGAUCUCAAAAUAAGGUACAUGUGGGUACUAGUGGCAGACGGUACAAUGGGGAUGCCUUUUGAUGUAUAGAGAUAUGAUUGAUGUCUUUUCUUUGAUACCAAGAUCUCAACAAAACGGAAGACGUCGAAUCAUCUCACAUCAUAACAAAAACAAAUUACAUGAUAACAAUUCUAGGGUAACAGCCAAC